UAUUUAGUGUCUGAUAAAAGAAUUAUCUUGAUAAGAUAAAACAUAUAUAUAAUUUAUAUAUCUAAAUUU
rnacentral:tRNA from 1 species